UGUACAAUUAAUAAAUGAUCUCAAUGUUUUGUACAUCUCUCUUACUCUCUAUUUCUUUAUGUUUCUUUGUAACAUCAGGUAGACUAUGCAUCUACACCUGAGGAAGUUCACCAGCAAUUCCAAUCUUGUGCUCAGGGUAACAAUUUUGACAGACAAGUUUGGUCAACCUGCCUAUGUUGAAUCUGUUGAAGUUGAUGCCGUUCAAAGUGCUCUACUGUUAAAUGAAUCAGAAUUGCAUGGUCAUCAGAUGCAGGUUCCUUCUCUGUUUACUUUGCAUUCGUACACUUAGCCUCAUAUAUUGCAACUUGGAGUGGUUUUAUGGGUUCAGUAUGUUUUACUCUGUUGAGUAUGCAUCGGACACGGGUGUUCCGCAUGAUUAAUAAAAAGAUCAACUGCUGCUGCCAAUAAAUUGAAGCAAGCCGGUUGCCGUAUAACAUGUAUAACAUCAGGGCUUCAAACUGUAAAACUAGGUACAUUUGAUUCCGUAGGUACAACUAAGUUGCAAGAUGUUGGCAAAGCUGGUUUGGUGAUGAGAAUUCAAGGCAAGAAUUCAGCUGUGCUCGGAACAGCACUCAUCUGCGCAUAUCUGUUUAUAACUUUGUUCCCAGAUCAAGCGGAGAAGCUGCUUCAGAUAAGUCUUGCAAGGUAGCCAUUGCAAAAUGAGCCCGUGUUAUAUUUUACCCAACUAACAUCCAAGGCAGUCCAAAAUGAGUCCUUCUCCCUGCCGCGAUAGUAAGAAAUGUCUAUGCAUCAACUUUAGAUUUGACCACCAAGAUGAUUCCUUACAAAAUUGCUUUAGCCAUCAAGCUGCCAAAUGAUUUUAUCGGCUCUCUAGGAGACCAGCUCAUGAAUAGAGAUGGUGUAUCUAAGAUCAUUAAGCAUCUCUUCCCAAUCGAAGAUUUCUUCUAAAGACAAGCCUCCAAGAGCAAUGGUCAUAUCUCUCAUCUACUGGAUAAUCAUGGACUGCAAUGAACCAUAUCUUCUCCUUUAUCUCUCGUUCUUUCUUUGGUUUCAAGAUUUCACUAUGGUUAUAAAUACAUUAUUUCUGAUAUUUAAAUUUCCAGCCAUAUAACUUAUUUCAUUGCUCUAAAAAUGUCAAAGGUACAAUUUUUUUAGUUCUUUUUUUCUUUAUUAGCAACCUAAACCACGAUUUUAACAGCAGAAGCAAUGUGUUGUGUCAAAGGUUCUUAGCUUGAAUAUAUUUAUUAGUUUAGGAAGAAGUUCUUAGCUUCUUCUUUAUUGCUCUAAAAAGUUUGUUUUUAUUGCUCUAAAAAUGUAAUAUAUUUAUUAGUUUGAAUAGGUGAUAAGCAGUGAAUCUGUCUUGGGUGGCUCUGCUGCAUCUGUAUCAACCUGGGAAUGUGUUGUGUCACCUGGGAGUGAUACUUGUGGAAGCGUGAGGCAGACAUUAUUUUGCGGCCAAGUUGGCUUGAAGCCUGAUUGCGCAUAGAAACUGUUUGAUAAAAUGCUUAAGAAAAGCUAGUGUCUAUUACUGCCUGACAUUGUUCAGCUCAGAUACUUGACAUAUUAAGUUGGCAAUUUUUUAUAAGGAAAAUCUUUAGGUUUUCA